AUUCUACCAACAGCAUUGUGAGAUGUCCAUGUUAUAUGUUCUGCUGAUGUAACUGCUGCUCUCGUUCCCUUAUUCUCAGAUGCGCAGUGUAAGUGGGAAUCAUACGGUGGCCAAAAUACAGCUUGAGAAAUCUUCCCAGGUCGUCUUCCGCUUUCCACUGGACUUGGCAGCUACACUGAAAGCUGUUAUCCUGGGUGCUUUCCUGUACAUGACUUUCAUAGUGGUCAAACGUUCCAGCAGGAGUUCCAAAGAUGUUGUCCCCAAGUGGCCCUACGUUCUUGGUGUGAAUUUUGGUGGCUGGGACUGGGGAGCAGAGAGUGGAGACUUUGGAGUCAGGCACUGUGGAGAUGGGGACUGUGGCGAUGGGGACAUUGGUGGCGGGGACUGUUGGGAUGGGGACUGUUGUGAUGGGGACUGUUGCGAUGGGGACUGUUGCGGUGAGGACGACUGUUGGGCAGGGGACUGUUGUUGUGAAGACUUUGAUUAAUUUUUAUUUUUUGUUAACUACAGUACUGUACAUUAUAAACAGGAUUAUGUCAGUGGAAAUUUCAGCUGAUUAAGAAGGGUCUACUGUAUUUUCAUCAUGAUGGCUCAUCUGAGGAUAUAUUUUGAUCAAUAUAAUAAUAACAACUGUAUUUCUCAAUAAACAAAAAUGUUGCUAUUUCCCAUGGAAGCAUGAUAAGCCUUGUAGAUGGGAUAGAGAAUGAGGUACUAUGAUUGUUGGGAGCAACACAGCCAUAACUAGACUUUUUGGUGCCCUUUACCAGAGAGAGAAUUGCCCCCCCCCCCCCCCCCCUCCUCCGUCACCCAUAUUUCCAAUAGGGACAUAAGGUGGGGAAGGGGCAUGACAAAAUUGAUCCUGGAGAAAACCCGUGCUUUGAUACUAUAUAUUAUGUACACGUAUUUCUAGAACACUGCAGGAAAAUGGAUGUAUACACCAAUCCUCUUUAUAUCACAUUCAUGCACUUAACUUUAGAGCUCGUUGUAAUUCAGUUACACUACCCUUUAUUAAAUAACACAUUUCAACAUACUGCCAUACCCAGGAUUCAAACACAUAACCUGUUGCAUUCCAGUCAAACACCCUACUCAUUGAGCUACUUGAUCCUAGAUAAAAACUAUGAGAUUUCUAACAAUAUGAAGCUACUAGUACUUUGUAAAAAAUAAAUAAAAAUCAGCAUUGCAAUUGAGCAGAUCUAUGUCGUGUGCAGCAACACAUCCAAUCGCUUACGGACACAUACUACAUAGAUCCGCUCAGCUGCAAUGCUGAAAAAAUUCUUACACAAAACACAAGGUGGGCUUCAAAUCUUAGUCUUUCUGGGUAUGUAUUGUGGUGUAGGUCAUGCACCAAUUUAGUUGCAUGGCCUACGUGAUAGUGCCGUAUUAUCGAUGAUAGUGACGUAUUAUAAGCAUUUACAUAUAUCUUACACUUAACAAUUAGGAAUUGGGAACAAUACAGUAAUAAUGCAAAGUUUGGAUAAUAACAGACAAACAGGUAAGAUGGCCAGGCUUAUAACUUUUAUUUAUUUCUGUGUAAAAUAAAACAAACAUUUUCAUUAGCAAAAAUAUAAAAAAACAGAUAGUAAUGUGUGAAGUGACAAACCACAUGAAAAAAAGAAAAGUUGUGCUCAGACCAUCCCAAAGUAUAUGUCGUCCUGUUUUCUAAUCACUAUUUCAUUAUCCCACAUUUAGAGGUAGAGUAUAUUAUUCCAUAUAUAACAAUAUAACUGUAUUAUAAUAAAUAUGAUUUCCAGUCCAA